UUGGAUGACCUUUGAAUAUCUUAUCAGAUUGGGCCUGACUGUUGGGUUUCUAUUUUAUUGGCCCAUCCUGUUCAAAUUCAAGUCCUUUAUCAGAUUAGGCUUAUUGCUCUGGGUAUCCAUUAUUCAGCCCUCCCUUAUUCCACUUCGUAUGUUAAAAGUGGGUAUGAUUCACUUAUGUCCUAUCCUUGGGCCUUUAUUGAAUUCUAAAUAUCAUAAAUCAUAUAUAGUUUUCCAUUAAACAUCCUGUUUAACUAAAAAACUAGGG
rnacentral:lncRNA from 1 species